GGCGAGCUCGCCACCCCUUCCGAAGAACUGUGCCAGUUCGAAGCCCACUUUGAACCGCGUCGGGUGGUGGGUCCUCGCUUUUCCGUCUGAGUUUUUCCAACCACGCCGACCUGUUUUUCAAAAUUUAAAUUGAAAUAAACUUAUUUAGGAAAUCCUUAAAUUCCUCCAAAUCAGGCGAAAUCCCGUGCUGCCAGUUUUUGUGAGAAUGAAGUGCAAAUGGAAAUUUUGAGGUUAGAAAGUGACGCACUCCAAACGAGCAAUCAAUUAGUGAUGGAAUGUUGCCAAAUUGCAUGAAUCGAGCAGUGUGAAUGCAGUGGACUGGCAGUGGCCAGCUUCCUGGGGGGGAAAGCUUACCGUCGGAAAAGUUCAAAGUGCCAUUCAAUCGUGCCUGCAAAGUGCAUUUUCAAAGUUAUCAACCUUCGAGUGGAAGUGAAAUCGAUUGGCCUGGAGCCACAUAACCUCAAAUGGUUCGGCAGUGCCUCACGGUGUUAUUAUAUUGUUUUUUCCUUUUCGAGUGAUUUUGACCCAAUUAGACACCAAAAGCCUCGUGGUUUGUGUGCCAGUGUGUUGCUGGAAGAAGCAGUGAGGCCAUCUCGACCGCUAGGAAGAAAACCGCAUCAUUCAGCGGCAGCAGCAACGAAAACAACUGCCAUAACCAUAAAGCCCCGUGGCUGCGGCAGUGUUGCAUUGCCCUGGCAAAGUUUGAAGAGUUGUGAGUGCGUUUAAAAUAGAGUCGACCACCGGCCACCACUGACAAAGUGCAACGAAUUUCGCAGUGCAAUUUACUGCCAGUGUAUUUGUGUGUAGAUUUCCCCCUCUUUGUGUGUGUGUGCCUUAAAUCCACCUCCUCCUAAACCAACACACCGCGAAGAUGAAAAGUUCGAGCCCGUUGAAUAAAUGGAGGCGAAGAGUAGUAAAUUCCGUGGCCACCCUCCACCCUCCACGUCCCACGACCACGUCGUGCCGUUGAAGGCUCCACCGCUGCAGUCCUCGCUUGCGUCGGCGACCUCGCGGAAGAAUCGCGGUGGUCCUGCGGCGGCCGUCCGCCAUACGGUCAAGUUUAAGGAGCAGUCCGACCAGGACAUCCUCGUGGUCACGGUAGAGCCGCCGUCACCACUCAGCCCCAGUCCAGAACCGCGCUUCCACCUGCCGCCGGUUCCUCCCCCACCCACGGGGACUCCCCACCCGCAAGUGAGCGCGAAAAAGUCCAAAACAAGUGCAAAAAAGGCCACCGACAACGAGUCCACCACCAGGAGGAAGGCCGUCCCCGUUGGCCAUAAGCCGCGGCUUUCGGAAGGAUGCACUUCGUUGAUGUACGCCUGCCAGCAGGGGCUUACCGAGGAAAUUGUUAAGGAGCUGCGCGAAAAGCCCGACGCGGUCCACCGGCGGGACCGUAACAACCGGGGGGCGCUCCACUACGCGACCAGUUCACGGGACAUUGUGGCCGCGGCCAGCGUCGCGAUGGUGGCCCCCGAGCUGAUCGAGUCGGCCGACGAGGACGGCUUCACGCCGCUCCAUCUGGCCGUCAUCCAGGGCAACCUGCAGCUGGUCAAUCUGCUGCUAGCGAACGGAGCCGACGUGAACGCCCUGGACAACGAGGGACACUCGGUGGUGCACUGGGCUACCGUAUGUGGUGAAGUGGAAGCCCUGCGGUCGGUUCUGAACGCCGGUGCGGACGUGUCUACGCCGGACAUCAACGGGGGCAGUCCGCUGCACUAUGCGGCACAGAUGUGCGGAGCAAACUACGAAGGAAAAACGGCUCGCGCUUCAGCCAAACUGGCGCUGGAAAUUCUAAACACGCUGCUAGCCCAUCCGGACACUUCGGUCGAAGUGGAAGACAAGGACGGGCGGCAGCCACUGCUGUGGGCGUCCUCAGCCGGUUCUGCCAAGGCUGUGCUGGCUUUAAUCAAAGCCGGUGCGCACGUCGAGAGUGCGGACAAGGACGGAUUGACAGCCCUGCACUGUGCGGCUUCGCGGGGUCACACAGAAUGUAUCGAUACGUUGAUCAACCUGUGCGGGGCUCACACGGACCAAAUCGAUUCUAACGGCUGUACGGCGUUGCAUUAUUCGGUGACCUUGGGUCAUGCGGACGCGACUUCGUUGCUUCUGAAGCUCGAUGCCGAUCCGAAUCGGCAGGAUCGUAAAGGUCGCACCCCCGCGCACUGUGGUUGUGCCAAGGGCCAGAUGGAGACGGUCAAGAUACUGCACAUGAAGAAGGGUAACCUGUGGCUGCGGAACGCCAAAGGGGACUUUCCGGUACACGAUGCAGCAAGCUCUGGGCGGAGACAGCUGGUGCAGUGGCUGCUGCAGAUGAAACCGAAGCACAUCAACACGCCCAGCAAUGACGGAAGGACGCUGCUGCAUACGGCCGCUGGCCACGACAACGUGGACAUGUGUAAGCUUCUGCUGGAACUCGGCGCCGAGAUCAACAACCUGUACCGGCCAAAUUCGAAAAGUGCUCCCCUUACACCGCUGGAUUAUGCCCUGGCCAAAGGUUUCCGCUCGACCGCCAAGUUCCUCCAGAUGCAAGGCGGUCUUCCGGCAAACAAGCUACGCCUGUCCAGCCGACAGCAGAAGAUCCUUCCCGAUAUCGACAAGGUCGAGCCACUCAAGCUUACGGAAAAGGAGGAACUGAUCGACCUCAAAACAUCCAAGCGCUACAUCGUGUACAUGAACUCCAACACGGACUCGGACAGUCAGGCUGCCGAAGACGAUCGGUCCCACCGGAAGAGUCGCCACAAGCGGAAAGGAAGCCACCGAGCUCGGCGAACUAGCAGCUGCAGCGAUACCGUCUACCUGUUCAAGGAGGGAGCGGCCGACAUCAGUCGCUCCCGAAGUAACGUAGAGUUAAACCGAAGUCACCACCACCAUCACCACAGCAAGGGACGACGCAGCAGCUCGUCAUCAUCCGCUACAAGCGAAUCGUCCUCCGAAGAUUGCUGCCGACACACGCGGAGAAAGCACCGAUGCUACCGAAAGUGUUCCUCGUCCAAAAGUUCCCGAUCGAAAGACCGCUCGUCGCAUCGCCGGGAGGAAUCCAAAGAGGCAAAAGAACUCAAAGAGUACGAGUUUAUGUACGCGGAAAAACGCGAAGCCGGUCCACGGAAGCCCGGCGAACGCUGUGGGAGGAUAGUGCUUAAGCAGGUGCACAGCGGUUCAUCGGAGAACGACUCGAUGGGAGAGUCCGGACGCGGUGGAACGCUCAAACUGAACAAGAACGGGAAGCCAUCUUCACUGUUGACGGUACCGUCGGAGAUGCUGGGUGGUUCCGGAGGCAACGGAGACGGUCUGGAGGAACAAUCACUGCCCAAAACACCACCGCGAGCGGAGUUCAACAUUAGGAAAGAGUCUGACACCAAAUCGGACGGAAAAUCAUCCGAAUCGUCCGGUGGAAAGAAGUUGCACAAAAAAGGCAAAAACGGGAAGAAGUUAAAAAAAGAUGGUAAAACAACGGGGAAAAAGACAGACUCACCGAGUGAGGAGGAACAGAAAGCCGGAACGAUGCAGGGUGAAAAAGUGGUAACGGAAGCACAGGUACAUCCAACGCCGGAAGUGAUGGCCAAGUCGACGGAGGAUGAUGGAGCAGCGACGGAUGCAACGUAUACGGUCGAUCAGAAAACCAAGUCGGAUUUUGAAGGUUUGAGCGAAACGGAAACUAGUGCAGCGAAGGGCGUCGCAAAGAUGAAGAGCAAAGCAGGGCCGGAGACGAUAGCGGAAGCAAAAGACGAAUCCGUACAGGAGGUUCCGGUGGUCCCUUUAGAAGUGCACGAGGAGGUGGCACCUCCAAAAAAGGACCGACCAAAGCUAAAGUCAAGCAAAGACAGCAAAUCAAGCAAAUCCAAGUCUGACUCGUCGGAGAAGGAGAUGCCAAAGCUCAAGUUGAAGCCGAAAGAGAAGGAAGUGCCCCCACCAGCGCCUCCUCCAUCACCACCACCACCUCCUCCACCACCACCGGAACCGGAACCAGAACCCGUACAAGAGCCAGAACCUGUCGUCGAGCAACCACCAGUCGCCGAGCCAGAACCGGAACCCAUUGAGGAGAAACCUCCCGAGCCGGAGCCAACGCCGGAUGAAGCAAUUGUCCCACAAGAACCCGAACCCAUCGUUGUCAUCGAGCCAGAGCCGGAACCUCCAGCGGCCGAGGAAUCGCCAACGGAGGAGAAAAGUUCGGAGGCCGAAGAGUCACCGUCAAAGUCCAGCGAGGAAGCUACGGUACCCGGCACCGAAGAGGAAACGACGACGCAGACUGAACACGAGGUGCCCUCGACUCCGGCACCGACGCCAGCGGAGGAAUCGCCCAAAAAGGUCAGCUUCGACAAGGAGCAGCGACCCAAACUGAAACGAUCCACCGAAUCGCUUAUGGAGCAGGUCGAGGAGGAGGAAGUGCGCACGGAAGACGAUGCUGUGGUUCCACUGGCGGUGGCGGCCGCGGUUGAUCAAGAGAAAGUCGACAUGACGAGAAGCUUCUUUGUGAGUUUGGACGAGGGCGGGGAGGGAGCUGGUGGAAGCAGUUCGGGUGAUUUGGAAGAAAAGAAAAAGCGAAAGUUGAAGAAGAAGAGUCGUUCGAAGGAGGGUGACGACGAUGCGCAAAACAGCAAAGAUCAGGACUCGGGGUUUGAACCGAGCCCGCAAUCUUUGCGAAGCAAGUCGACCGUGUUUGAUCGGCCGACCAGUACAGCUGUGCUGUCCAAGAGGCCACCGGCAUUUACGAUGCUCGAGGAAGGCCGGGCGGCCAGUUCCCGGCCCGAUGGGCGCAAACCAGGUGACAAGAAUGCCGUCAACAUGACCACCGUCCAGCAGUCUAUCCAGCGGAACAUUCGCAGACCGAGCGCCGCCUCAGUCCGGACGUGAGCCGCUACGAACGGGCCCUGAACUGCACGACCAAGACGCAUCGAUGUCUGCACGCGACCCACGCGUACACGGGCAUUCCCUGUGCAGCUUACAUUCCCAUGAUGAACCACCACACCAUCCCCAAGUUUGGAUUUGGUCCGUACAAAUCAUCUUCCACCGGGGUUGGCAGCUUUUUCCUGCCGAAAAUCCUCACCAACCCGACGGACCGGAACUGUCCGGGGGCGGAAGCCGU
rnacentral:misc_RNA from 1 species